rnacentral:rRNA from 1 species
AACGUAGGACACAAGCGUUAUCCGGAGUUACUGGGCGUAAAGGGCGUGUAGGCGGAUCGGUAAGUCUACUCUGAAAGCUCCUGGCUAAACUGGGAGAGGCGAGUGGAGACUGUCGGUCUAGAGUGAGGAAGAGGAAAGUGGAAUUCCGCGUGUAGUGGUGAAAUGCGUAGAGAUGCGGAGGAACACCAGUGGCGAAGGCGGCUAACUGGUCCGAUACUGACGCUGAGGUGCGAAAGCGUGGGGAGCAAACAGG